ACGUGGAUAACCUACCUAUAAGACUGGGAUAACUUCGGGAAACCGGAGCUAAUACCGGAUAAUAUUUUGAACCGCAUGGUUCAAAAGUGAAAGACGGUCUUGCUGUCACUUAUAGAUGGAUCCGCGCUGCAUUAGCUAGUUGGUAAGGUAACGGCUUACCAAGGCAACGAUGCAUAGCCGACCUGAGAGGGUGAUCGGCCACACUGGAACUGAGACACGGUCCAGACUCCUACGGGAGGCAGCAGUAGGGAAUCUUCCGCAAUGGGCGAAAGCCUGACGGAGCAACGCCGCGUGAGUGAUGAAGGUCUUCGGAUCGUAAAACUCUGUUAUUAGGGAAGAACAUAUGUGUAAGUAACUGUGCACAUCUUGACGGUACCUAAUCAGAAAGCCACGGCUAACUACGUGCCAGCAGCCGCGGUAAUACGUAGGUGGCAAGCGUUAUCCGG
rnacentral:rRNA from 1 species